AGCACAGCCUUCAGAGCAGCAAGUGAGCAGUGCAGCAGGGCAGGGAAAGAUGCCUUAAACUCCUGCACUGAUCCUUUCCUCUAGAAUCAUUCAGAGGCCUAGAGGGGAGCGGCAGGAAAGGUGAGCAGAAACGAGCCUGGCGGAACCGGUCGCUUCAGUCGUCUGCUAGCUCACCUUUGAAGUGAUUUUUAAAAUCACGGAGGAGGGGCAGAUAUGAGUUCAGCUCUUUUACUGCAACUUCACAGAAUUUGAAGACAUGGAGGGUAAGAGGCCACCUUUCCCCCACCAGAAAAAUAGUGUAUCCAUUCAGAGAGAAGAGAAUACAGCUAAUAAAAUAGGCUGCAAUGCUCAUCAAGUAGAUCUGCAGUGUUCUCACAUCCUGAGGGGCCUAUGAACAGCUACAAUGACAGCAGCAUCUACCAGCGGAACCAUCAAAGACAUGCUAGUCAUUCGCAGGAGUAACUGGUGAAUCCCGACACAGCCCCGGGUCCUGCGCCAGUGGAGCAAGCAUCUCUCACCAGUCGGAGCCUUCUCUCUGUCUCAUGUUCCCCAUCAUUGAGCCUGCCCAUACUUUCCCUGCUGCCUGUCUUUAACAGAAAGGAUUGUUUCUAACUCCAGCCCACGCAAAUCCUGGGAGCUCUGUUUCUAUUACACAGCAUCAGCUAUUUACUGCAGCACAAGGAAUUGAAGCAAUGCCAACAGAACAGGAGUGGCCUGGUGUGAUGAUAAGCCAGGCAUCUACUGUACAACCUGUCCUAGGAAGAGGGGAAAAAGGAAGGAGGGAAAAAGGAAGAGGGGAUAAAGGACCACUUACUUAAUUGGAAAUUAAUCUCAGUUCUGCUACAGGGGGAAAAAUUAUAUAAACCCCACAGUUGCUUGGCAUGACCAGCGUCCUCGAGGGUACCCAGAAAUCUACUGAGCUUGCUUCCAAACAAAUGCCAUGGCUGGGCAAAGUCCAAACAAGAGAUGAUACCCUUGAUGCUCUCAUGUUGCCACAGACAAGCAGAUGUCACUUUUUAUAAAUUCAAAGCUUUCAGGGGCUGAGGAAUGCCAGAGUCAUCAAGCCAGACUCCUAUAGCAGCUCUGAAUCAGCAGCCAAGUUAUAGAGCUAGCCUAUCUUCAUAGAAGCUCGCACCUAACAUUUUUCAAAAACAGGAGCAAAUACAGCGUCUCUGGCUUGCUGAGAAGACCCCAAAGAGCACAUUCACAUGAAGCCAUGGCUGAAGGCAUAUACCUACACCUGACACAAAAGUCAGACCUUGAGAAGCAAUUGAGCACACUCACAGUGAAGACUCAAAUCUGAAAUGUUUUUUCUCAUGAUUUGCAAACAAGUUUUAAUCUGAAGUGCCAGGAGACAGGAAUCAGCAAAGAACAAGAGCUCACACGGCCUCUGGUGGCCAAGCCAUAGGUUCCAGUUAUCCUCCUCCAGCACUGCCAGGCUGCUCUUCUCAGGGCAGCUCCUGGGAAGCAGCACAGAGAACUGUGUCUUCUCGUGGAUAAGUGCAUCAUCCAAAUAUUCUUCUGUCUUUUAUUCACACUGGUGCCUCACACAUUGCCCCACGUCUUUCAAAAGCCAUGCCUGCCUGAAAAACAAGCAAGUCAAGAGACUUCAUCUGCAAGCAAGGUCUACCUAUUGCAGGACUUCUUCUACCCCCCAAAAUACUCACAUUGUUCUGAGAUAAUUAACAUAACUGCAUUUAGUCUA